CACUGGAAUUUCUAACCUGCAUUUCUCUGUUUUCCUCUUUAAUCCCUGAUUGAAAGACCCAGCAGGUCCCAUCAAACUUACUUUUACGUGGUUGGAGAGCGUUUUGACAACAUCUUUUCCAGGAACGGUACAAAGAACUGGGCAAGGAAUAUUUUUUUUUCUCCUCUAAGUCAAACAAAUCAAAAUUUCUGUCCAGCAAAGAUUACCUUUGUGACUAACAAUGACUUGACAUCCAGCAAGUGCUAGAAACAUGUAUGGCCCAGAGAGAAAGAAUAAUAAAGUGGAGGAAUUCCAUGGAGACUGGAACAACCUCCAGGAAGUGAUGCAGAGUGAGAGGAGCAGAACCAGGAGAAUAUUGUACACAGAGACUUACACAUUGUGGUACAAGAGAACGUAAUGGACUUCUCCAGUAAUGGCUUUACAAUGUCCCUGAACAGCCUGAAGCAAUCUACGUGAUUAAAAAAAAAAAAGAAACUAAACUAUCCUCAAGCAGAGGACAAACUGAGGGAGUAAAAACACCGAGGAAAAACAACUGCUUGACUACAGAGGUUGAGGGGACAUGAUCGAGGAGAGAUGCUAAAUGAACGCCCUAAUGCAAAUACCAACAAUAAGGAAAUGGGUUCAGAGCAAGGACACAUGUGAUACCCAGACGAAUUGCGCAUUGGCUAGGGAGGGGGUGAGGUGUUUGAGGGGAAGGAAAAGAAAAUGAUCUGUUUCCAAUGAACAAUGUAUGAAAAUGACCAAAUAAAAUAAUGUUUAAAAAAAAAAAAGAGGAGAGA
rnacentral:lncRNA from 1 species